rnacentral:rRNA from 1 species
GACGAACGCUGGCGGCGUGCUUAACACAUGCAAGUCGAACGGAAAGGCCCUGCUUUUGUGGGUUGCUCGAGUGGCGAACGGGUGAGUAACACGUGAGUAACCUGCCCUUGACUUUGGGAUAACUUCAGGAAACUGGGGCUCAUACCGGAUAGGAGCUCCUGCUGCAUGGUGGUGGUUGGAAAGUUUCGGCGGUUGGGGCUGGACUCGCGGCUUAUCAGCUUGUUGGUGGGGUAGUGGCUUACCAAGGCUUUGACGGGUAGCGGGCCUGAGAGGGUGACCGGCCACAUUGGGACUGAGAUACGGCCGAGACUCCUACGGGAGGCAGCAGUGGGGAAGAUUGCACAAUGGGCGGAAGCCUGAUGAAGCAACGCCGCGUGCGGGAUGACGCCCUUCGGGUUGUAAACCGCUUUCGCCUGUGACGAAGCGUGAGUGACGGUAAUGGGUAAAGAAGCACCGGCUAACUACGU